GCGGGGGGAGGUGCGAGUCAGCUCCUUGGCUUGGGUGGGCUCCUCUCCGCCUCCCCGCUCUACGCAUGCGCUUCUACCUGAGCCGAGCCUACAAUCCAAACCUCCCUCGCCCAACUCUGCCCGCCACAGAUGCCCCUGGGCUCCCCUCCAGACCAUGCCCCGCAUCCCCGCCAGCCUGAAGCUCCUGCGCACCUGGGCUGGGGGAGCCGGUCGGCACCCCCGGAGUCGGAGCAUCACCGCCGCUUGGAGUUGCCACAGCGACGGGGAGGAUCUCGAUGGAGACAGCAUCCCCCGGCCCCCGCAGGAUACGGAUUAACCCCUUCUCCUCCAGCUCCUCCACCUUCAGCUCCAGGGCCGAGGGCCGCGUCGGGGCAGCGGGAGGUGCUCUCUCAGGCUCGGGGGGACGCCUGGAGGCGCCCAUGGCGGUCGAUUCGCUGAAGCGCUCCUGCGAACCCCACGGGAGGGGUCAGUGCCCACCAGCAGGCUCCUUGGCACCAAAUCCCCAUCCUCUUCCCGGGGUGGAGGGAGAUGUCAAGCCUAGAAGCCGAAGCUGGCCUGUUCUUGGGUGCCCGGCCCACCACCCGCCCCAGCCUCACCCGCAGGGUCUCCAACUCCUUGCGCGCCUGGCUUAGCUGUUUUUCCAGUUCUGCAAUCUUGGCCAUGGAUUCGUUCUCCGCGUCCCGAAGCCGCUCUGUCAGCUGUAGCACCGGCACAUGAACUGCCGACCCGGACUUCCACAUGUCAGUCUCCCUGACGAUUCUAUCACAUUCCCAGUAACAGCGGGAGGCCCCGCCUUCACCCGCUCCUGCCACAUCACCCUUUCCCGUCAUUGUGCUAAUAUGUCAGAGUUUUUGUUCAUGCUGUUCCUUCUGCCUGGAAUGCCCUUCCCUGUUCCCAUGGCUGCCUAUAAAGCCUGUAUCUGUCUGUGAGACAUAGUGCCAGUGUCACCUUUUCUGGGAAGCCUUCCUGAUGCCCCAAGUGGUGGCCACCUCCCUUCUCAGAGCUCCCAGGCACAAUUCCAUGACAGCCUGUCACACUAAAUUGUCCCCCACUUAGACUGUGGGUCCCUGAGGGCAGAGUGACCUGUCUCGUGGGCACCUGCCACACAUCUCAUACAUACUAAGUGCUAAAAAAUAAAUGUUUGUUGAAUGCAUAA